UUGGAGGGCAAGUCUGGUGCCAGCAGCCGCGGUAAUUCCAGCUCCAAUAGCGUAUAUUAAAGUUGUUGCAGUUAAAAAGCUCGUAGUUGAACCUUGGGCCUGGCUGGCCGGUCCGCCUCACCGCGUGCACUGGUUCGGCCGGGCCUUUCCCUCUGGGGAACCCUAUGGUCUUCACUGAUCGUAGCGGGGAACCAGGACUUUUACUGUGAAAAAAUUAGAGUGUUCAAAGCAGGCCUAUGCUCGAAUACAUUAGCAUGGAACAAUAAAAUAGGACGUGUGGUUCUAUUUUGUUGGUUUCUAGGACCGCCGUAAUGAUUAAUAGGGACAGUCGGGGGCAUCAGUAUUCAAUUGUCAGAGGUGAAAUUCUUGGAUUUAUUGAAGACUAACUACUGCGAAAGCAUUUGCCAAGGAUGUUUUCAUUAAUCAGGAACGAAAGUUAGGGGAUCGAAGACGAUCAGAUACCGUCGUAGUCUUAACCAUAAACUAUGCCGACUAGGGAUCGGACGGUGUUAUUUUUUGACCCGUUCGGCACCUUACGGGAAAC
rnacentral:rRNA from 1 species